CUCUGUACCUGGGUUUGUGUCAGUGUAUGUGUGUAUUCUGUCUCUGUGCCUGGGCUUGUGUCAGUGUGUGUGUGUUCUGUCUCUGUACCUGGGCUUGUGCUCUCUUGUGCAUGUGCGCGUGUGUGCGUGGGCGUGUGCGGACGGGUGUGGUGUCAGGGAGUCAGACGUGCUGCGACUCGGCCUGAGCAGAUCGCUGUGAGCCCAGAGAGGGGAGAGAGGAGCACACUUCACCCUCCAGACUGUGUGCUGUGGCUUGCAUGCUGCAGUCCUCCCUCCUGCUCCUGAUCGCCCCGCGCCGGGGCAGGGUGCGGCUCUGCACAGCGUCUGGCCCCGCCGGGGCUGCAGGCCGGGGAGACCCCCUCCGCUGUCCGCGAGCGUCCGCACGGACCGACGGAGCGCCAGGCAGGCAGCCUCUACCGCCUCAGGCUCAAGUCCGUCCCCACCACCCUGCCAAGCUCUGCCUAAUCCCGCCAAGUUUCCCUGAGCUCCGCUGAGCCCUGCCGGAUCCCACUGAGACCAGCCGAGUCCCAGUGAGGCCUGCUGAGCCGGCUGAGACCUGCUGACACCUGCUGAGCCCCUCGGAGCCCAGCCAAGAGCCAGUGAGCCCUUCUCAGCCCAACUAAACCCAACCAAGCCCAACCGAGCCCAACUGAGCCACUCGGAGCCCAGCCAAGAGCCAGUGAGCCCUUCUCAGCCCAACUAAACCCAACCGAGCCCAACCGAGCCCAACUGAGCCACUCGGAGCCCAGCCAAGUGCCACUGAGCCCUGCUCAGCCCUGCUCAGCCCUGCUCAGCCCUGCUCAGCCCAACCGAGCCCAACCGAGCCCAACCGAGACCCGCUGAGCCCCUUGGAGCCCCUGCUGAGUGCCACCAAGCCCCACCGGGCCCCUCCAAAGAUGGCCACCAACGAGACCCUC
rnacentral:lncRNA from 1 species